rfam:Camelus ferus unplaced genomic scaffold scaffold324, whole genome shotgun sequence.
GAGGGUAUAGCUCAGUGGUAAAGUGUGUGCCUAGCAUUCACGAGGUCCUGGAUUCAAUCCCCAGUACUACCA